UACGGGGGGGGCAAGCGUUGUUCGGAAUUACUGGGCGUAAAGGGCUCGUAGGUGGCCAACUAAGUCAGACGUGAAAUCCCCAGGCUCAACUUGGGAACUGCGUCUGAUACUGGAUGGCUUGAAUCCGGGAGAGGGAUGCAGAAUUCCAGGUGUAGCGGUGAAAUGCGUAGAUAUCCGGAGGAACACCGGUGGCGAAGGCGGCAUCCUGGACCAUUACUGACGCUGAGGCGCGAAAGCUAGGGGAGCAAACGGG
rnacentral:rRNA from 1 species